GCAGUGGUGGUUCAGUGGUAGAAUUCUCACCUUCCAUGCGGGAGACCCAGGUUCAAUUUUUGGCCAAUGCA
rnacentral:tRNA from 1 species